UGGGAGUCAGAGAGAGGCUGGUUAUGAAGAGCCACUUUGCAUUUUCAAGGGAAAUUGCUGUUCUUGAAGUAAUACAGUGGAGCAAAAAGCCUUUUAGGUGAUAAGGAAGAGAGAAACAUGAGUCAAGUCAACAAGUUACUAUGCAGUGUUAGAACUAAAAGGCAAGAUGUGCCCUGAUUUAGUCUCUUCCAACCAGAUGAGUCUCUUUGGGUCUGUCAAUACGAAAGAGAAGUUCUGCAGG